rfam:Gossypium hirsutum cultivar TM-1 unplaced genomic scaffold scaffold4457.1, whole genome shotgun sequence
UGUUAAAAUUUUCAUUUAUUUUUUACUGUUAAAAACUGGCAUGGUUGAUGGAAUAAUCAGAUAGUUACACAUGACGUGCCAUGUGUACCUCAUGACAACGUACAGAGACUAAUUUUUAACCGUAAAAAUGAAUAAAAAUUUUAAUA